AUUGAACGCUAGCGGGAUGCUUUACACAUGCAAGUCGAACGGCAGCGCGGACUUCGGUCUGGCGGCGAGUGGCGAACGGGUGAGUAAUGUAUCGGAACGUGCCCAGUAGCGGGGGAUAACUACGCGAAAGCGUAGCUAAUACCGCAUACGCCCUACGGGGGAAAGCAGGGGAUCGUAAGACCUUGCACUAUUGGAGCGGCCGAUAUCGGAUUAGCUAGUUGGUGAGGUAACGGCUCGCCAAGGCGACGAUCCGUAGCUGGUUUGAGAGGACGACCAGCCACACUGGGACUGAGACACGGCCCAGACUCCUACGGGAGGCAGCAGUGGGGAAUUUUGGACAAUGGGGGCAACCCUGAUCCAGCCAUCCCGCGUGUGCGAUGAAGGCCUUCGGGUUGUAAAGCACUUUUGGCAGGAAAGAAACGUCGCGGGCUAAUACCCCGUGGAACUGACGGUACCUGCAGAAUAAGCACCGGCUAACUACGUG
rnacentral:rRNA from 1 species